GUUAAUGUAGCUUAAUAUUAAAGCAAGGCACUGAAAAUGCCUAGAUGGGUAUAUAAACUCCAUAAACA
rnacentral:tRNA from 1 species